rnacentral:lncRNA from 1 species
CCAAACCAUUCAUGCUAAGAUACUUUUCAGAUCAGAUUUUUUUGUAUUGUUUUUUUAAAGAGCUGUCUAACAAUUUUAAGCAUUUCAAAACAGCAAAUUUAUAAAAAGGGGAUCAGCCUUAGAAUAUACACCUAAAAAGUUCUCAACGGGUUUAAGGGAAAUACCCUAUGUAGAUGUAUGAGAAAAUGCUGCAGUUUUAAGUUGCCAAAAAACACACAAAAGAGCCACUCAAACAUGGAUGCUUUUCAGGUAGUAUGAUCACUACCACCUUCUGCAAGAUGAUCUACAUACUAUUAGAUGCUCACAGGGUCUCAGUUUCCUCAUUAAAAAUCUGACUAGUAAUAGAAUUUAUAUCUAUAUUGAUGGGAGGAAUAAACACAGUGAAUUGCUCAAUAAAUGUUAACUAUUAUAAGAGUUCUGUCAUAUUAUAAUAAGCUCAUUUAAUAAAACUUUAGACAGUCAUUAUUAAAGUCUUAAGAAUACCAGAAGCUGUUUUUCAGAUAUCUGAUAUUUACAGAUUAUGGUUUGAAGGCUUGGUUUUGGUUUAAAGCCUCAUAUAAUGAGGAACAGUUUACAGGGAAGAUAAAUCAUGAAUUACAUUUAUAAUCAAUAAGAAUUAAAAGUUGUAUCGAUUUACUAUGUUUUAAAUGUCUAUCAGUGAGACAGAAAUAAGAGAAAGUAGGACUUGGUUUAUGAAAGACAACUAUCCAUGCCAUCCUAGAAACAACUUAGCAGGUUUUAAUGUAGAUACAUUUUCACUUUAAAUGUUAUAACCAUUCUUCUCUAAAGGUAUGUUUUUCCAGAUUCAUCUUUCAUCUUGAUGUGAGAAAAGGACUGUUUUGUCAUAUUGUGGUUCUGCAUGGGGUUCUAGAUGUAGCAAAACUUCAAAUAUUAAGAGAAGUAUUCUCAAUUGUUCUACAAUAAUUACUGUUAUAAGCAACAGUGGCUAUGGUAUUUUCAGGUUUCAGCUUUUACAGUAUUCAGAUUGUGUAACAUAGAUUAAUUAUCAAGUCAUAUCAAAUCAUCCUAAAACUCUCUUUCUGUACUCCCCAAGUCCGCUAAACAACAUACCUGGGAAUGGGUCUGCUUUAUUGUCUUCAGGUCUUCAGUUAGGUUUCCACAUUGCUUUUGUGACUCAACCAAGGAACAAAUGGUAUUUUCUUGUAGUUCAUGUAGAUUGUUACACAGUAUACUGAGAAAGCCAUCUAGUUCCUUUUUUUGAUCUUCUAUCUUUGAAGAAACAAAAAUGAGUUUCCUUCUUAAACAACACAUCAAUUUUGAGAUAUUAAGAACAUAGCAUUUGUUACCUUAUCGGCCACUGUCAAUGAAGUCUUGAAAAUAUGCUUUAGUUGACUAUUGAUUUUCAGUAUAGACACCACAGUUGGGGAUAAAAUCAUUUCCAGUGAACUUAGAAGAUCAGUCUUGAGUACAUUAAUCAAUUCCUGUAGUACAGUUUUACUUUCUGCUGCUAAUGAUUGUUCUUUUAGUAUCAUAUUAAAAAUCUGAGAAACAUGAGUAGACACAUUUUCUGGAAUAGAUGUGAGAGAUCCAAGUGCUACUGUAGUAAUGGUAUCUAAUGCAGAGACACUGGAAGACAGCAGAUUACCUAUAACAAACAAAAACAGAAAGAUGUAAACUUUGACAUAAAUAUAUUAAAUACCGUUCAAACCAUUUCAAAGAAGUUGACAAAAGUAUACCCUUGUUGUAGAAUUUGUAAUAACGAGCUUAAAAGAACUGGCUCACUACAAAGCAAGGAAAUAUUUAAAUAUACAUUACAAUUUUCUAUAGUGCUCUGUAAGCCCUUAACAUAUUUGUAAGUGUAUCAGAC